UACGAAGGGUGCAAGCGUUACUCGGAAUUACUGGGCGUAAAGCGUGCGUAGGUGGUUGUUUAAGUCUGUUGUGAAAGCCCUGGGCUCAACCUGGGAAUUGCAGUGGAUACUGGGCGACUAGAGUGUGGUAGAGGGUAGUGGAAUUCCCGGUGUAGCAGUGAAAUGCGUAGAGAUCGGGAGGAACAUCCAUGGCGAAGGCAGCUACCUGGACCAACACUGA
rnacentral:rRNA from 1 species